GGACGGGAGAAGCAGGGCUCUAAGACAGGCUGAAGGCAGAGAAGGAUAGACGAGACAAGGAAGCAAAGGAGAAAAGAAAGAUCGGAAUAGAAGAGAGGUAACGGUUGAACGAACGGUAGACCCAACUCUGUAUACUUAGCCGGAAGCAGGGCAUUCCACCGAUUCCACUUAGGGAUAUAGCCUUUCCCGUAUCUAUUUUUACCUUAUCUGCAAAUUUAUAUCCGGUAGACUUGGUAAGGUCAAAGGGCCCCGACUUAUUUGAUUUCCAGAAUUAGAGUUCGACCGCUGCUGCCCCUUUUUUGUUUUGGGGGGAUCAAGUUCCUUGCCAACUAUCGACCCCGAUCUCUUUUCAUUUCUUAUUUUGGGUAUUACUAGCCUAGCCUUCGUCAAUCACACUAAAGAGCAGAGCACCCAACUAUGGCAAGGCCCCCUUAAGGCUUAGGUUAGUCAAUCCGGCCCGAGACCAGAUCGACUAAAGGCGUUGACAAAACCGCCGUAGGGUAGGAAUGGAGACCUUUCAAUAGAGCGGAGGCGAACUGAUCAACGAGAAAGAGGCCCUACUCACUACAAACGAAUACACCACAAGAUCGAACUGCACUCAUGCCUCUCCCGCAUUUGCCCUAGACAGAUCAUUGCCCACCUACGUAGUUCUUCUAUCAAUCAUGUACGUAGGUAGGGUCCUCCAUUCUGAUUGGUAUAUCAUGAAAAAAGAAAGCAAGCCAUUUGCACCAGGCGCACUGCGCUUUCCCUUGCCUAGAUGUUCGCCUUUCUAAGUCAAGUAAUGGUGACCCGCCGAAGACUGGAGCCUCAUAACAUGUUGACGAAGACCCCCGAACUGAGGGUUCGAUCAGUAGAGGGGACGACUUUACCUCCCCGGAUUCGGAAUCGGAAUCGGAAGAAGAAUAGCCCCGCUCUCUAGCCGCCCUUCCUUAACAAGUCCCGUUGAUCAUAUAACUGGGAGGGAACGUGUCACAUUAGAGGUGAACGAUCAGAGAUGUCCGAUAAUUACCACGAUUCGGAAUCGGAAGAGGCUGGUCCCUCUUUAAUUUUAGUAGACUAAGCUAUGAAUAUGAAUGAAGAAAUGAAUGAAUGCCGGGCUCUUUCUUUCACUGCUAACCCCAAUACAAAAAGUUUCUUAAUGCUGAUCUUUUCUCUUUCGUCGAGCCCCUGCGGUUGCUUGUGGUCCUCCUUUGAGUGUGGGUUCCAUUGGAUGAAUCUCUCAAGUCAAGGUUCACGUACAUAGCAGCAAGAAUAGAAUGGUGCAGCGCCUAUUUAUCGUUCUCGCUCGGGAGCCAAAACGAAGACGCCUGCUACCUACUGUACUGGACCUUCGACCAGGCAUUCUACCCUUGUCGAAUCGGAACCAACCACCCCCUAUGUGCCGAUCGCUUGCGCUCGAACAGUUGAGCGGCCGCCGGCCAGCAACUUCCGUACCGUACACAGAUAUAUAUUCAUUAUUCGUACCUGGUCCAACUUCACAACCCUUCGCGGGUUGGUCAGAAGUCAGUCUUGUUUGGUAAUACUCUAUUGGACAAAGCAAAGAAAAUAGAGUGCUCGACCGGAACAACGGCCAACAAAGACCGUAAUUACAUAGAUAACAGCUCCUCCCUUUCUCCGUCUUUAAUUAAGGCUUUCAGGCGAACCGUAUGGCGGACGGAAAGACGACCUCACCUUCUCGUAGAUGGUGCCUUCAUUGUCUAUCCAAAGGAGAGCAACUUGAGUAUCCCCCGUUGACCUUCUUUUGUAGAUAGAAUCUUCAAUGAGUGGAAAGAAGCAACCUUACUAAACUAAGAAAGGUGCGCUUCUUGAGUAAGGCCGUUUUCUUGCAGGAGUGCUAACGCGCGCCCUUAUUCUAUUCUUCGCUUGCUCCGCAGUACGAGCCUCAUACAGAGCUGCGCCCCUUUAAUAGGAUGAGGAGAAGAGGGGCCGCCCUCUUUUCUGCACCAAUCUUUAUAUACAACUAUAUUUAUAUCUUUUUUGGGGUGUAUAGCUCAGUUGGUAGAGCAUUGGGCUUUUAACCUAAUGGUCGCAGGUUCAAGUCCUGCUAUACCCAAACAAACCUACCUUACACAAUACCUAUUCAUAAAUAAGGAUGCGUAGUAACGUUCAAAGAUCACUCUUUGGCCUUUAGACUCGCUUCAGCGACUUCGCCCUUUAAGUGAGAAGGGGGUGAGGUAAGGAGUAGUAUAAGAGUGGCUCGGUCAUCAAUAGGCCUCUCC